rnacentral:tRNA from 2 species
GAAAAGUUAGUUUAUUAUAAAACAUCAAUCUGUCAGAUUCAAGAAACUAAGUGAUGGUAUUUUUCU